rnacentral:tRNA from 1 species
GGAGUUGUGCCUGAAUUAAAGGAUUACUUUGAUAGAGUAAAUAAUAAGGGUGAGAGCCCCUUCAGCUCCU